rnacentral:SRP_RNA from 1 species
GCUGGGCAUGGUGGCGCAUGCCUAUAAUCCCAGCUACUUGGGAGGCUGAGACAGAAGACUCUCUUGAACCCGGGAGGCAGAGGUUGCAGUGAGCCGAGAUCACGCCACUGUACUCCAGCCUGGGCGACAGAGCGAGACUCUGUCUCAA